rnacentral:rRNA from 1 species
CCCUUAGAUGUUCUGGGCGGCCCGCGCACUACAUUGGCACUCUCAAUAAGUUCCUAGAUCUAAAACUUUGGGGUAUUCUAUUAAGUGGUGUCGUGACUGGGAUUAACCCUUGCAAUUAUUGGUUACGAACGAGGAAUUCCUUGUAAUCGCGGUUUAUCAGCCCGCGUUGAAUGCGUCCCUGCCCUUUGUACACACCGCCCGUCGCUCCUACCGAUGAAUCGUCCGGUGAAGUUCAUGGAGUGAUGGUUGUUCCAGCUGCUGUCGAAGUGAAAUGGACCUCACGAUUUAGAGGAAGGAGAAGUCGUAACA